GGACUAAACUCUACUGAAAACAAAGCUCAUUAUUACCUGCUCACCACAUCCACCCAAAGAGGCAAGGAAAUGUAGUGAGUGUUACCUACCUGAACUAUAUAUGGACAAUUUAGUAAGUUCAAUAUAAUCCAAAGGUGAUAAUACAAGGGUUUUGUGAUAAAAGAGUAGCUUUGCAAUCGAGGACCAAGGAAUACCUCAAAAAUCACACCACAUAAUAGACACCACACAAUGGACUUAUUAUGGGGGGAUGGUAGGCACACACAAAAGGGCUAUCUCAGAGUUGGGGUUGAAGAACCCUAGGGGCUUUUGCCAUCCUUACACCCACCACCUCAGGUCAAAGCUUGGCCAAGUUCUAUCCUCCAACCAUAGUUCUCAGAAGGAGCAGGGACAUUCUUGAAAAACACAGAAUGGACUGACUGAUAGUCACCUGACCCUCUGGUCCCAGAUAGAAUUUGAAAUCAUGUCAUAGACUUGCUAGCCAAUAAAUUCAAAGGUCAAUAUGCUUAGCCAAUAAGUUUAAACUGUAACCUUACUGAUGUAACACGUACCCCUAAAAAGUAUAAAAACUGCUUAUUAUAGCCAUUUGGGUUUGCCUUCUAGUUGCUCACCACGAGGGUCUGAUUGAGGGUUGACCCGCUGGAAAAAUAAACCUCUUGCAUUUGCAUUGAACUCUGUUCUCGUGUCUCACUUGGUAGUGUCUCCUGGUAGUUAAGACUCACUUUGAGCCUUAAAUUUGGUGCAUUGGCCGGGAAGCCAGAUUCCCCCCACCCCCCAAGAGGUUUCGAGGAAUGGUGGUCGGAGGAAAAGCUCGAGCUUGAUGUCAGCCCACCUGGGAUGAUAUCCAACAACUCAUGGGAGUGCUCUUCAUGACCGAAGAGUGAGAGAGGAUAAUGCAGGAAGCCAGAAAGAACGUCCCCUCAGACACAGGGGCACCAUCGAUUGAUCAGACUGUCAUCGACAGCGAGUUUCCCCUGACUAGACCUGGCUGGGACUUUAAUGUGCAAGGAGAUUUGCAGGUCUUACAGAUAAAGUUCUCCCAGACAGGGUUUUCUAUAACAAUCAUCAUUCUCUGAGGACAAAUAACAGGGAGUCAGCUAGAACUGCAUUGGUCCCAAAGCAGAAGAGGGAACAACUGUUCAAGCCAUGUUUGCUGUCCAGUGUUCUAUUGCUGUCAAGAGACACCAUGACCACAGCAACUCUUAUAAAGGAAAACAUUUAACUGGGGCUGGCUUACAGUUUCAGAGGUUCAGUCCACUAUCAUCCUGGUGGGAAGUAUGGCAGCAUGAAGACAUGGUGCUGGAGAAGGGGCUGAGUGUUCUAUACCAGAAUCUACAGCAGCAAGAAGAAAGGUUAUGAGCCUGGGUUGGACUACUGAAACUCUGGAAACACAGUUCCAACGACACAAAGCCACUCCCUUCAAAUCCUCUUCAAGUAGCUCCACUCUCUGAUAAGCAAACAUUCACAUAUAUGAGUUUAUGGAGCCAUUCUUACUCAAACCACCACAUUUGCAAAGACCUGGAGCAAAUGGAACAAUUGUUACAGUCACUGUCCAGAGGAGAGAAAUAAUCCAGAAAGGUCAUAAAAGAAAACCUUGGGUAUCAACUCUUCCCUUCCAAUUUAUUUGAAACAGGGUCUCCCCUCUCUCCCUCUCUCCCUCUCUCCCUCUCUCCCUCUCUCCCUCUCCCUCCUUCCCUCUCUCUCCUCUCCUCUCCUCUGCAUAUUACAGGCUGGUUCCUAAGUUUCCUGGGGUUAUCUGUCUCCACUGCCCACUCUCCUUUAGAGAGACCCACACUGUAGUACUCAGCUUCUGUGUGGGUUCUGGGCACCUAAACUCAGGUAAUCAGACUUGGGCAGGCAGCAAGUACUUCACUGGUAUACUGAGCCAUCUCUUCAACCCAGCCUGGCAAUUUCUUUGUGUUAAGUAUACCACUAAUCUUUGCACUUCUCUGUAUUAAGGCAUCAGAAAUUAAAGCCUACAUCCAUACAAAAACGUAUACUCAAUAUUCAUGGCAUGGUUAUUCUUAAGAGUCAAAAACUGAAAACAGAUAAAUCUUCAACAGCAGAGAAUGGAGAGACAAUAGGUCCCUCUGCAGUGGAGGAAACAGUGGAUGUUGGUGCAUGGGCAGGAUGAAUGUAUAUCACAUUCAUUACACUAAGUGGAAGAAGCCAGAUAAAAGGAGAGCAAAUGUACAAUUCCAUUUAUAUAAAAUUCUAGACAAAACAACAACAACCACCCUAAAUAGUGACAGAAGUAAAUCAGCAGUCCCUUGGGGGCUGGGUCCAGAGGAAACUUUGGGGAUUUGUACCUUUAGUAUCUUGGUUGUGAUUUCAUAAAUACAUAUCCAUGAUUCAACCUACAUGUAAAAUUGACAUUGCUUGUUAUAUACUAAUCAUACCUCAAAUAUGCUUCAUUACUAAGAGCUGUUAAAAUCAGGGUCAAGUUGAACCAGGGAUUUAAAACUAUCCUAAUACUGCCUCUGGAGUAUAAGACACUCUCCUGUAGGACAGCCCUGCACAGUGUGCUCAUUCUAAAUCCCUGCACACAGUGGACAUGGUGGCUAUGUGCCCUGUACAACCUUGCUCAGUUCAGUAACCUGAGAAUAGUCCUUUCCUCUCCCAGUUCCAGCUUGGGGAAGUUCACAGACAUACUCUAUGGUCAGCUCUUGCCUUGUGCCUUCCCUUGGGUCAAUCAAUAAAGCUGGUGAAGAUGUUGCUAAA